AAAGAAAUGACGAAAUGGGAAAUCCGUCAGCUUAUCCUUCAGCUAAAGCAUAAGAUUUCUGAGGAAGCUACCUGGAGAGGGGCACUAUAGAAUUCUAGAGUGCCCUCCAUGUUUAGAACACACGUGUAUACUCACAGACACGGUGUUCUAGAACAGGACACCUCCUUAGAAGCCAACCUAUUUGAAAAGCACCCGACACACCCCUCCUGUGUGCUAUAUAACAACAGGGCCCACAGUAUCUGCCUGCCUCCUUCCACAGCUACGAAGCAGCCGUGAAAACUCAGUGUAAAGCCUCAACUCCCCCGUGACUGAAAAGGCACUGUUCCAGGUCUUUAGUUCAGGACCCUGAGCAAAUGCUGCCAGUGACCAGCAAACAGCACAGGGAAGGAAGAGCCUGAUGUCAUCCACAGGCCACGAGGCCAGCUGAGGCCAACAGCAGAGCCGACCCUCCUCUCGCCUCUAAGACCUAGUGUGACAGGAAAGUAGGGAGGGGCAAGGUUAGUCCUGGGCUGCAUAUCUUUAAACUUCUGAAUUCAAGCUUGUAAGUGGAUCAAUGGGGCAAGGGCUUUAAUGCAGUCCUUUCGGGGUCAGACCACCUUGUCAAGAUGCUGUUCGUCUUUAGCAAUUACUCUGCUACUCAGGAUCACAACUCGGUGAGCAAGGCUCACGGCUUCCGAGUCUUCAAAAGACAAAGCGAGGAAAGAAAGAAUGUGAAUGUGCAAUGUCAACGCUGUUACUUCAGUAAGAGGCCCCUGCUCUUCCCACCCUCACCUGCUGGGCGCCAUCUCUGAAAUGGAGCCAGCUGGGGCGUGUUUUCAUGUCUCCUGGCUGAGGACUGACUUGUUCUCUGUGCCUGGCAGCAGUGCUGUGCAAACAUGGAAUUGAGAAGGGGCUGCACUCAGAGGUAGAGGGCUCUCGGCAGCAUGCAGCCGCUCCACGAAAGACUCCACAGCUCUACUCAGCUAGGAGCCUGCAGAGCCCAGCUCACCCACUGAUUACUUCCCGGUUCCACAUUCUGUUGGGAAGUGUGCUGGAGCUCAUCUACAUCAUUACACAGGCCUGUCGCAUAGGAUGAAAACGACUCCUUCAUGUUGCUCACAGCUCCCACGACACCCAGGACUGUGUUCAAAUCCUCCUUUACAGUGCACGGGCUUCAUAACCAAGGGAUUCGUAAGCACAUGGUGAGAAUAAAUCUCUGCAUGAAGGA